AACCAACUGGGAGCACAUGUUGUAGAAGUACAUGACAAUCAUGACUUUUCAUCCCGACGAUCUUUUCAUCUUUCGACUUGAUGCACCGUUUCAAGUUUGAGGCGUAUCCAUCAAGAAACCUCACUGAUCUCAAAUAUGAAAGAAAUUGAUUUCUCUCUCUUCGAUUCAGUAUAUAACAUGCUAAUGGCUUCACCAGCCUAUCCCCUCGUCGAAUCAAAUGUAAUUCCUUUCUAAUCCGCAUAUCCUCUAAGUCAAGACGAGCCUUCACGGUAUCCUUCGUUCUUCCUUCGAUAUUGAGAAUGGUAUAAAAUAUAUUAUCAAAUAUAUUCUUUUCAAUAUGUAUAACGUCAAGAUUAUGUCGAAGAAGAAGCGUUUUCCAAUAUGGAAGAUCAAACAACUUGCUCCUUUUUCUUCAAUUUUCGAUACUUGUUCGCACCCCUACUUGACUGGCCAGACCCUUACCAAAUAUGACAUCCUGUGGGUUGGGUAACUGAUUUAAAAUAUUAUCCGUAGA
rnacentral:lncRNA from 1 species